rnacentral:rRNA from 1 species
AGUGAACGCUGGCGGUAGGCCUAACACAUGCAAGUCGAACGGCAGCACAGUAAGAGCUUGCUCUUACGGGUGGCGAGUGGCGGACGGGUGAGGAAUACAUCGGAAUCUACUUUUUCGUGGGGGAUAACGUAGGGAAACUUACGCUAAUACCGCAUACGACCUACGGGUGAAAGCAGGGGAUCUUCGGACCUUGCGCGAUUGAAUGAGCCGAUGUCGGAUUAGCUAGUUGGCGGGGUAAAGGCCCACCAAGGGGACGAUCGGUAGCUGGACGGAGAGGAUGAUCAGCCACCUUGGAACGGAGACACGGUCCAGACUCCUACGGGAGGCAGCAGUGGGGAAUAUUGGACAAUGGGCGCAAGCCUGAUCCAGCCAUACCGCGUGUGUGAAGAAGGCCUUCGGGUUGUAAAGCCCUUUUGUUGGGAAAGAAAAGCAGCAGGUUAAUACCCCGCUGUUCUGACGGUACCCAAAGAAUAAGCACCGGCUAACUUCGUG